UCUAUGUGUUCUUAAUUAUUUUUCAUACAGACUUGCUCGGCUAACUGAGGAGGUUUUUUAAGGUUUGACUUGUUAAAACAUUUAAAGAACAUGUGUUUUGCAGAAUAAUGAAAUCAGGAACUUUCUCCAAGUGGCCACUGCAUUGGAUCCACGCUUUAAACAUAAAUUGGAUGAUGACACCAUCUGGGACCAGAUCCAGAGAAAGCUGAUUGAACAUUCAACAGAGGAAGACUGUGGAGCUGAUGGGGACACCAUGGAGUCUGAGAAUGAGGACGAGGAGGGUCAACACCCUCCCUGCAAACUGCCCAGGAAGACUCCACCCUGGAGGAGCUGUUCGCUGAGGAAGAUGCACAGAACAUAGUGUCACAGCAGAGCUCCAUGUCCAUCAAGAAACGAGUGGAGAGAGAGCUGCAGAUAUACCAGGAAGUUCCACCGGUCCUCAUGUCUGAGGACCCUGCUGCAUGGUGGUGGAACCAACAAAAGACAUAUCCUUUGCUGUCAAAUCUCGCUUUCUCCUAUUUAUGCGUUCAAGCUUCUUCUACACCUAGCGAACGUGUGUUCUCCACAGCAGGAGACACUAUCUGUCCAGAACGUGCACGCAUCCUGCCUGAGAAGGCAGAUACGAUCAUUUUCCUAAACAAAAACUGUUUCUGAUUUUAUACUGUACCUGCUGCUAAUCUGGACUGGGUUUUA